GCUGCCCCUCGGAACGACCCGUGAACGCGUUAAGUACAAACAUCCCGGGGUGGGUGAGGGUGCGUCCGCGCCCCGAGCCCCCUCGGCGCCCUUGCGUGCGCGACCGCACCCGCUCCGCCCCCCCCGGGCGGGCGGGAUGCCCGGUCUCGUCGCUUGCGGCGGAACAACGAACAAACCCCCGGCGCGAGUCGCGCCAAGGAAUCGGAACGACGACGAGGGGCGCGUCCGCUCCCGCCGACCCGUCCGCGGUGUUCGUGCGGGCAGCGGUGCGUCUCCUCCGUCGCGAAAAAUACGAAAACGACUCUCGGCAACGGAUAUCUCGGCUCUCGCAUCGAUGAAGAACGUAGCGAAAUGCGAUACUUGGUGUGAAUUGCAGAAUCCCGUGAACCAUCGAGUCUUUGAACGCAAGUUGCGCCCCAAGCCAUUAGGCCGAGGGCACGUCUGCCUGGGUGUCACGCAUCGUCGCCCCCUCCGGACCCUUAGCCCCUCGGGGCUAGGAGGGGGCGGAAAAUGGCCUCCCGUGCGCUCCCCGCUCGCGGUUGGCCUAAAACAGAGUCCUCGGCGACGACGGCGCCGCGACGAUCGUUGGUGACGCCUCGAGCGCGCCUCGUCCGCGGUCGCGCGCGCUUUCGUUCCGACGGACCCAUCGAGAGACCCUUCCGGCGUCGCACGAUCGAUGCCCGCAUCGCGACCCCAGGUCAGGCGGGACUACCC
rnacentral:rRNA from 1 species